AUUGAACGCUGGCGGCAGGCCUAACACAUGCAAGUCGAGCGAGCGGCGGACGGGUGUGUAAUGUAUGGGGACUGCCCGCUAGAGGGGGAUAACUACUGGAAACGGUAGCUAAUACCGCAUACUAUCGGAUAACCCAUAUGGGAUUAGCUAGUAGGUGAGGUAAUGGCUCACCUAGGCGACGAUCCCUAGCUGGUCUGUGAGGAGGAGCAGCCACACUGGGACUGGGACACGGCCCAGAAUCCUACGGAGGCAGCAGUGGGGAAUAUUGCACAAUGGGCGCAAGCCUGAUGCAGCCAUGCCGCGUGUAUGAAGAAGGCCCUAGGGGUGUAAAGUACUUUCAGGCGGGAGGCGUUACCGACAGAAGAAGCACCGGCUAACUCCGGGCCAGCAGCCGCGGUAAUUC
rnacentral:rRNA from 1 species